UGGGGAAUUUUGGACAAUGGGCGCAAGCCUGAUCCAGCUAUUCCGCGUGUGGGAUGAAGGCCCUCGGGUUGUAAACCACUUUUGUAGAGAACGAAAAGACACCUUUUAAAAAAGGGUGUUGCUGACGGUACUCUAAGAAUAAGCACCGGCUAACUACGUGCC
rnacentral:rRNA from 1 species